AGUCAUGCUACUGCACUGAUGCUCAAAGCAGAGCUAUGGGUCAGGAGUUGGAUGACCGAGGAGGCUACCUCAGGGACAAAGCAGUGACCUCUCUCAUCCAGAAGAGAAGUGAAAGCAGCCAGACUGAGUGAAAUCUGUGUCAGAGGGCCAAAGCGGACAGACUUAACAGCCAGACGGAAGAGACAAAAGCUCAACAUCAAAGAGGUGACAGAUGAAGACCUUAAGAAAAUGAAACUGCUGGAACCCAAGGCAGCUGUGCUCACUAGUCUGGACKUCAGUGACACAGUUAGUGCGUCAGCAUCUGACCAGGAGAACUAAGUCCUGAUGGAGCGCUUUGUAUGAUGAUAAAUUACUGGAUUGGGCGUCACGUGACMUAGGGAAUUGAGCUAAAGCUAACRCUAACCAUUGAAAUCAAUGAGCAGAAUAUAGUGUGGUUCAAACAAAUGUUUAAUAAAUGUACAAACAGYACAAACACUUUGCUAUAAUCYGCAGAAAUUGUUACAAGUUUASAAGAGCAAAAAGGAUUAUGUUUUACAGGUAGAUAUUUUGCAGGUAAAUAUAUGAUUUUARCAGUAAAACCUGUUUGCUAACAUUUAAAAAAGUUUCAAUGUUCAUGUUUGGCCUUUUGUAGAAUCAAUUAUUUGUUGUCAAAUAUAUUAUUUACACAUUAAACAAGUAAAAUGUG